rnacentral:rRNA from 1 species
UUGAACGCUGGCGGCAUGCCUUACACAUGCAAGUCGAACGGCAGCACGGACUUCGGUCUGGUGGCGAGUGGCGAACGGGUGAGUAAUACAUCGGAACGUGUCCUGGAGUGGGGGAUAGCCCGGCGAAAGCCGGAUUAAUACCGCAUACGCUCUACGGAGGAAAGGGGGGGAUCUUUCGGGACCUCUCGCUCAAGGGGCGGCCGAUGGCAGAUUAGCUAGUUGGUGGGGUAAAGGCCUACCAAGGCGACGAUCUGUAGCUG